rnacentral:rRNA from 1 species
AGUGAACGCUGGCGGUAGGCCUAACACAUGCAAGUCGAACGGCAGCACAGUAAGAGCUUGCUCUUACGGGUGGCGAGUGGCGGACGGGUGAGGAAUACAUCGGAAUCUACUUUUUCGUGGGGGAUAACGUAGGGAAACUUACGCUAAUACCGCAUACGACCUACGGGUGAAAGCAGGGGAUCUUCGGACCUUGCGCGAUUGAAUUAGCCGAUGUCGGAUUAGCUAGUUGGCGAGGUAAAGGCCCACCAAGGCGACGAUCCGUAGCGGGUCUGAGAGGAUGAUCAGCCACACUGGAACUGAGACACGGUCCAGACUCCUACGGGAGGCAGCAGUGGGGAAUCUUGGACAAUGGGCGCAAGCCUGAUCCAGCCAUACCGCGUGGGUGAAGAAGGCCUUCGGGUUGUAAAGCCCUUUUGUCGGGAAAGAAAAGCAGCAUGUUAAUACCCCGCUGUUCUGACGGUACCCAAAGAAUAAGCACCGGCUAACUUCGUG